rnacentral:tRNA from 1 species
UCUGCCGUGGCCGAAUGGUUAAGGCGCUCGGCUUUUAACCGAGUGAUUGCGGGUUCGAGCCCCGCCGGUAGAAACA